rnacentral:rRNA from 1 species
UGGGUGACCUGCCCUCAGCUCUGGGAUAAGCCUGGGAAACUGGGUCUAAUACCGGAUAUGACCUUCUGUCGCAUGGCGGUGGGUGGAAAGUUUUUUCGGCUGGGGAUGGGCCCGCGGCCUAUCAGCUUGUUGGUGGGGUGAUGGCUUACCAAGGCGACGACGGGUAGCCGGCCUGAGAGGGUGACCGGCCACAUUGGAACUGAGACACGGUCCAGACUCCUACGGGAGGCAG